rnacentral:misc_RNA from 1 species
ACGCAUCUCUGGCGGCGAGGGUGCGCCCAGCUCCGGACCGAAAGGCCGUGCAGCGGGCUGUCCCGGACCGCUAAACCUUUGCAAACCCACUGUGCACUUUUGUCGGCAAAGGGCCCGCCAAAGGCCCCGAGCCGGAUCACAAACACUUUGUUAAUCGAAUGCAAGCGGACAUUGUGCCGCCUAAACUUUAA